GAUGAAGAACGUAGCGAAAUGCGAUAAGUAAUGUGAAUUGCAGAAUCCAGUGAAUCAUCGAAUCUUUGAACGCACAUUGCGCCCCUUGGUAUUCCGAGGGGCAUGCCUGUUCGAGCGUCAUUAUAACCCUCAAGCUCAGCUUGGUGUUGGGGCCUGCUGCACUGGCAGCCCUUAAAAUCAGUGGCGGCGCCAUCUGGCUCUAAGCGUAGUAAUUCUUCUCGCUAUGGAGUCCUGGUGGAUGCUUGCCAUCAACCCCCAAUUUUUCUAUGGUUGACCUCGGAUCAGGUAGGGAUACCCGCUGAACUUAAGCAUAUCAAUAAGCGGAGGA
rnacentral:misc_RNA from 1 species